GACUCUGGUAUAGUGGUUUGAAAGUUGGACUACGACUCUGGAGACCAGGGUUCAAUUCCCAGCUCAGCCA